GACCGUGGCAAUAAGGUCUCUAUUGCCACGGUUAAGCGCGUAGCCGUGGCCAUAUGUGUACCCUAUUGCCACGGUUAAGUAUGUAACCGUGGCCAUAUGUGGAUUCUAUUGCCACGGUUACACUUGAUGACCUGUGGCAAUAGGCUAACCAAUUGACACGGUUCAACCUUGAACCGUGGCAAUAGAGCAAUUGCCACGCUC
rnacentral:pre_miRNA from 1 species